GGCUCAGGACGAACGCUGGCGGCGUGCUUAACACAUGCAAGUCGAACGGGGAUCAUCGGGCGGAAGGCUUCGGCCGGAAGGCUGGUGAUCUAGUGGCGGACGGGUGAGUAACGCGUGGAACAAUCUGUCCCAGACAGGGGGAUAACACUUGGAAACAGGUGCUAAUACCGCAUGAGACCACGGUGUCGCAUGGCACAGGGGUAAAAGGAGUAAUCCGGUUUGGGGUGAGUUCGCGUCCGAUUAGCCAGUUGGCGGGGUAACGGCCCACCAAAGCGACGAUCGGUAGCCGACCUGAGAGGGUGAUCGGCCACAUUGGAACUGAGAGACGGUCCAAACUCCUACGGGAGGCAGCAGUGGGGAAUAUUGGGCAAUGGGCGAAAGCCUGACCCAGCAACGCCGCGUGAGUGAAGAAGGCCUUCGGGUUGUAAAGCUCUGUUAUAGGGGACGAAGUGCGUGACGGUACCCUAUAAGGAAGCCCCGGCUAACUACGUGCCAGCAGCCGC
rnacentral:rRNA from 1 species